rnacentral:rRNA from 1 species
UGGGGAAUAUUGCACAAUGGGGGAAACCCUGAUGCAGCAACGCCGCGUGAGUGAAGAAGUAUUUCGGUAUGUAAAGCUCUAUCAGCAGGGAAGAAGAUGACGGUACCUGAUUAAGAAGCCCCGGCUAACUACGUGCCAGCAGCCGCGGUAAUACGUAGGGGGCAAGCGUUAUCCGGAUUUACUGGGUGUAAAGGGAGCGCAGACGGCAGUGCAAGUCUGGAGUGAAAGCCCGGGGCCCAACCCCGGAACUGCUCUGGAAACUGUGCGGCUAGAGUACUGGAGGGGCAGGCGGAAUUCCUAGUGUAGCGGUGAAAUGCGUAGAUAUUAGGAGGAACACCAGUGGCGAAGGCGGCCUGCUGGACAGUAACUGACGUUGAGGCUCGAAAGCGUGGGGAGCAAACAGG